GCCCUUCACUACGGAAUAGCCUCUGGAAACGGAGAGUAAUACCGUAUGCGCCCUUCGGGGAAAGAUUUAUCGGUGAAGGAUUAGCCCGCGUCUGAUUAGAUAGUUGGUGGGGUAACGGCCUACCAAGUCGACGAUCAGUAGCUGGUUUGAGAGGAUGAUCAGCAACACUGGGACUGAGACACGGCCCAGACUCCUACGGGAGGCAGCAGUGGGGAAUCUUAGACAAUGGGCGCAAGUGAUCUAGCCAUGCCGCGUGAGUGACGAAGGCCUUAGGGUCGUAAAGCUCUUUCGCCAGGGAUGAUAAUGACAGUACCUGGUAAAGAAACCCCGGCUAACUCCGUGCCAGCAGCCGCGGUAAUACGGAGGGGGUUAGCGUUGUUCGGAAUUACUGGGCGUAAAGCGCGCGUAGGGGAUUGGAAAGUUGGGGGUGAAAUCCCGGGGCUCAACCCCGAACUGCCUCCAAAACUAUCAGUCUAGAGUUCGAGAGAGGUGAGUGGAAUUCCAAGUGUAGAGGUGAAAUUCGUAGAUAUUUGGAGGAACACCAGUGGCGAAGGGGCUCACUGGCUCGAUACUGACGCUGAGGUGCGAAAGUGUGGGGAGCAAACAGGAUUAGAUACCCUGGUAGUCCACACCGUAAACGAUGAAUGCCAGACGUCGGGGGGCUUGCCUUCGGUGUCACACCUAACGGA
rnacentral:rRNA from 1 species